AGAGCUGGGUAGAGUGAACAGUGUGCAGAGCUGUAAUCUAGACAUUUGUAUUAUUUACAAAAUGUUGAAAAUAAUAAUAAUGAACAAUGAGUAGGAGUGUCCAACUUUGAACUUUGGAGUAGGUUGAGGAAACAAGUAUAAUUUCACUCAGGCACUUUCAGAGACGCCUACACUGGGUCCUUCAUUGCAUCCGAAGCGAAGGACUUUUUUGGUUAGUGUCCACGUGGAGCUGAACCAGUGUUACCACGCGCUCUUAAAGUGGCGGUUUCGUUGCAAAUGUUGAAAGUAUGUGGCUUUAUAUUGAAACACGUGGGCGUGUAACUGUCACAUGUUGAGACCAUGAGGGCCAGGAGUUGCUUUUGAACCCUCCAGGUGAACAACCAAUGCGGUAAAAGGCUGCUGUUGCAACAUGGGCAGGGUUGCAUGACACCUGGGUCUACAUUCUCCUUUCUAGUGGAGGCAAAUUACCCAGAAUUCAAGGAUUAGUGGUGUGUGAGAUGCUGUUUUCUGCAUAUGUGUUUCUGCAGUACAUACUUUUAUAAAUAAAACCUUCUGCUUAACA